rnacentral:lncRNA from 10 species
AGAAACAGGAUUUUGCCACAUUGGCCAGACCGGUCUCGAAUUCCUGACCUCAGACCAUCCACCCGCCUCGGCCUCCCAAAGUGCUGGGAUUACAGGCGUGAGCCCCGUGCCUGGCCAAAAUGUGAAGAACAUUCUUAGCUCGUGGGCCAUGGAGAAACAGGUGGCAGCUGGAUUUGGCCUAUGGGCAAUAGGUUGCCCGUGCUAGCUCCCAAUUCUUCAGACACUCCUGGCAGCAGGUGAACUGCACCUCCUGGAGAUACCAGCGCCCCAGAGGCUCAACCCCAUCACAAUGCAUCCUCAUUCUGUGGUCUGAACAUGGGCCAGGCAAGGCUGAGCCUGGAGGCUCUGGUGGCCCCACUUCUUCUCUUCUGUCCCUCCAGCCCUGAGAAGGAACUCCUGUAGUUACCAUAUCUGGUCACUGCAGCAUCUCCAUUUGCCCUUCCAACCCUCCAACACUGGAGUAGUCAAUUCCCUGAAUACAUCCCUUCUGUAAGAAAUGCCUUGCAUGGAAUCGUUUUCCUGCUUGGACUCUGACUGACACAGAAAUCCUUCCAUUUUAGGGAGGGGAAGAAGAAAAGGAAGCCAAAAGGGAGAAGUCAAAGACUGAAGAGGCAAAUUAGGAGUGUCCCCACACUGAAGGGAAAAGAAGCUCAGGAAGAAGGUCCUGGGGAGCAGCAGUUGCCACUGCUGAGAGGUAAUGGCAUCCAGAAAGAAUGAAACCUUGAAGCAGAAGACAUUGGGUGGCUGAGUCAGGGUGUGGGACUUGAGCCAGUUUCCACUCUGCAAAGAUCGGGAAACAAGCACCCUCUCCAUCUUCCCCAGCCUGGAGAUGCCAGCCAUGAGGACUCAAAGGGGUCUCUGGCCUGGCAUUCAGCCUCCUACCCCAGAGCCCCAGGGAGAGUACUGGGGACUGGAAGCACCAAGCCAAAGGCUCUGAGAGGCCACAGUGCUUGGGGAUUGAGGCUCUGAGCCCAGAAACUUUGCCAGAGAGCCACAUAGUAGCUCCAUAACCACCAACUCCCUGGAGCUAGAGGAAAGGAAUGAAGGGAGGCCAGGUCCAAGAACUCCUAGACCAGUCCUGGUGGUGCACAUCCUCAGGUACUUUCCCACAUAAUUAUCUUAACAACCUGUGAGGUAUUAUCAGAGGUGUUUGAAGCAGAGCAAUUCCAUCUUGAAUAGGGGCUGGGUAAAAUAAGGCUGGGACCUACUGGGGUGCAUUCCCAGGAGGUUAAGUCAUUCUUAGUGACAGAAUGACAUAGAAGUUCAGCACAAGAUACAGGUCACAAAGACCUUGCUGAUAAAACGGGAUGCACUAAAGCAGCCAGCCAGGCUGGGCACAGUGGCUCACACCUCUAAUCCCAGUACUUUGGGAGGCCGAGGCGGAUGGAUCACCUGAGGUCAGGAGUUUGAGAUCAGCCUGGCCAACAUGGUGAAACUGUAUCUCUACUAAAAAUACAAAAAUUAGCCGGGCAUGAUGGUGCACACCUGUAAUCCCAGGUACUCGGGUGGCUGAGGCGGGAGAAUCGCUUGAACUCAGAAGGCAGAGGUUGCAGUGGGCCAAGAUCGUGCCAUUGCACUCCAGCCUGGGUGACAAAAGCAAAACUCCAUCUCAAAAAAAAAAAAAAGAAGCCAGCCAAAACCAACCAAAACCAAGAUAGCAAUGAGAGUGACCUCUAGUCGUCCUCACUGCUUAUACGCUAAUUAUAAUGCAUUAGCUGCCAAAAGACACCCCCACCAGCCCCAUGACAGUUUACAAAUGCCAUGGCCAUGUAGGAAGUUACCCUGUAUGGUCUAAAAUGGGGAGGAACCCUCAGUUUUGGGAAUUCUCCACCCCUUUCCCAGAAAACUCAUGAAUAAAUGAAUAAUCCACCCCUAGUUUAGCAUAUAAUCAAGAAAUAACCAUAAAAAUGGUCAACCAGCAGCCCAAGCCACUGAUCUGCCUAAGGAGUAGCCAUUCUUUAUUCCUUUACUUUCUUAAUAAACUGUUUUGUUUUGUUUUGUUUUUUUGAGACAGAGUUUCACUCUUGUCACCCAAGCUGGAGUGCAAUGGCGUGAUCUCAGCUCACUGCAACCUCCGCCCCGCAUGUUCAAGCGAUUCUCCUGCCUCAGCCUCCUGAGUAGCUGGGGUUACAGGUGCGCACCACCACCCCCGGCUAAUUUUUUUUGUAUUUUUAGUAGAGACGGGGUUUCGCCAUGUUGAUCAGGCUGGUCUCUAACUCCUGACCUCGUGAUCCACCCGCCUCGGCCUCCCAAAAUGCUGGGAUUACAGGCCUGAGCCACCACACCUGGCACAUGACACCCUUUUUAACGGUAAGAAAAACUGAGUUUCAGUGAGGUUGCACAACAUUCCCAAAGACACACAAGCUACAACCUGGCAGGGUCCUCCUGACUCCAGAGCCUGCUCAGAUGUCCCAGAAAGAACCCCCCAGGAGCCUCAUUAGGGGCCCCAGUGGCCUGUGAAGAACUGGUGGAUAAACUCAGACCUAACACCAAAGCUGUGUCUAGAGAGGCAACUGCAGUCUAGAGAAGAUAGGUUACUGACCUAAGAAACCACAAAUUUCACCUUUGCUUCCUCUCCAUCAGGUACCCCAGGCCUUCUGACUUUCCCACCCUAAAGCCCAUCAGAUCCCAAACCUAUUUGACAUGGUUUCUUUUUUUUCUUUUCUUUUAAUAAAAACAUUAUGAACCUCUAAA